UAUGGCCAUAUCAUGUUGUAAUACUUGUUCUAGUCUGAUCACAAAAGUUAAGUAAUGUUGAGCCUGGUCAGUACCUAGAUGAGUGACCACUUGGGAAUAACUGGUGCUA